UACGUAGGGUGCGAGCGUUGUCCGGAAUUAUUGGGCGUAAAGAGCUCGUAGGCGGUCUGUCGCGUCUGCUGUGAAAACUCGGGGCUUAACCCUGAGCUUGCAGUGGGGUACGGGCAGACUAGAGUGGCGGUAGGGGAGAUUGAAUUCCUGGUGUAGCGGUGGAAUGCGCAGAUAUCAGGAGGAACACCAAUGGCGAAGGCAGAUCUCUGGGCCGUAACUGACGCUGAGGAGCGAAGCGUGGGGAGCGAACA
rnacentral:rRNA from 1 species